AUGGCCAAGCCCAAGGCAAAGCGGCUCAAGUCGUCCCCCAACGACGCCGCAGCGGCCGACGGCGUGGCCGCGAGCGCCAUCGCGUCCUCCUACAACGACCACAUACGCCCGCUCCUGGACGCCGUGGACCGUCUGCGCCAUCUCAAUGUCACGCAGGAGGGCAUCCAGCUGCCCACCAUCGUCGUCGUCGGCGACCAGUCCAGCGGCAAGUCCAGCGUUCUCGAGUCGCUCGCCGGCAUCAGCCUCCCGCGCGGCCAGGGUAUCUGCACCCGCGCGCCGCUCGUCAUGCGCCUCAAGGGCGACCCUUCCGGCGGCGACGCCCCCGUGCUGCAGCUCGAGUACGGCGCCGGCCGCGUCGUCAGCACCUCCGAGGCCGAGAUCGCCGGCUCUGGCAAGGGCAUCUCCGACAGGCCCAUCACCCUCUUCGUGCGGAAGCGCGGCCUCCCGGACCUCACCCUCGUCGACCUCCCCGGCAUCACGCGCGUGCCCGUCAAGGGCCAGCCCGACGACAUCUACGAGCAGGUCGCCGGGAUCAUCCAGGAGUACAUCGCGCCCAAGGAGAGCAUAAUCCUCAACGUGCUCUCCGCCACGGUCGACUUCCCGACCUGCGAGUCCAUCCGGAUGUCGCAGCAGGUGGACCGCAACGGCGACCGCACGCUUGCCGUCGUCACCAAACAAGUCACCAUGGACGACGUCAACAUCGGCCUCGGUUACGUCUGCGUCCGCAACCGCGUCGGCGACGAGACGCACGACCAGGCGCGCGCCGAGGAGGAGCGGCUGUUCGACCAUCACCCGCUCCUGUCCAGAAUCGACAAGUCCAUGGUGGGCAUCGCCGUGCUCGUGCAGCGCCUCAUGCAGAUCCAGGCGACCAUCAUCGCCAAGUGCCUCCCCGACAUCGUGUCAUCCACUGCCGAGCUGGAGCAGAUGCCACCGGAUCUCAACAACGUCGCCGACGCGGUGCGAGCCUUUUUCCACAUUGUCAAGCGGACGUGCUCGUCGGUGGAGAAGAUGCUCGUGAGGGGCGAGUUCGAGGAGUGCCCCGACGACCGCCACUUCCACGGAACCGCGCGUAUCGCCGAGAUGCUGAACGCGUACGCGAAGAAGCUGCCGGCGGAGUGCCCCGAGCACGGCAGUUACCUGUUCCUGAUGGAGGAGGUGCGCAUCCUGGAGGAGACCACGGCCAUCAAGCUCCCCGACUUCCUCCCAAGGUCGGCGUUCCUCGUCCUGCUCAAGAAGAAGGUCCAGACCGUCGUGCAGGGGCCGCACGACCUCGUCCGCGAGGUCUGGGACUAUGUCGAGGACCUGACGCUCAAGGUGCUGCUGCAGCACUCGACCGACUUCCCGCAGGUGCAGCCGUCAUGCCGCCGCGCCGUCCAGAGCAUGAUGGACAAGGCACGAGCGCAGUCGGCGCGGCACGUCACGGAGCUGAUCGACAUGGAGCUUGUGGCCGACUACACGUACAAUCCCGACUACAGCAAGCUCAUGGAAGGCUACGGCAAGUUCAUGGAGGCCGUGAAAGACCGCACCAAACCCACGGCCGUCACCCUGAAGGGCUUCGGGAAGGUGGAGCGCCUUGCCGAGAACGACCUCGAGGUGGCGCUCUCUGACGAGCUCCUUGGGAACAAGAUGACCGGGGUGGAGCGGAUGCUCGCGCCGUCGCCCGGCACUGGCAGCAAGCGCCAGCGCCUCAAGAAGAGCAUCGUAUUGCUUCAGCAGUCCAAGGAGGCCGUGGCUUACAUCAUGGGAAAAAAAUUAUAUGAGACCAGAUCUCAUGGUUAG
rnacentral:rRNA from 1 species